UGUGCACAGAAGUAUUGUUAGAAUUUGCAUGCUUGUGCCACCUAAAAAAGGACAGGAAAAUUGAAAGCAGGACCACCUGUAGGGCGAAACGUAAAGUGGUACAGAAGCAAAAUCAAAAUGUCGUCCUAGGAAAUGAAUGGGUCGAAACUACUACAGGCUUGGAUUCCAAUUGCAUGGUCCCAACCCCCAGUCGUGUAAUCUGAUCCUCCAAUGGACGUGGUAGCUGGUGAAACUUACCCAUUUCUGUUAGGGUCCAAACACUCAUCAUACAUGUCAACAGGUCCGCUCUUACCUCUAUGCGUGAGAUCCAAUGAGAAGCUUAAAGACACUGAAACGGAGCAGUGGGGGUAAUUUACCAUGCUUCCUAGAAUGGAUAGAUUCCACUUCCAUGGGACUUGUUGUAAGCCUAGUUUGCUUGAACAAUCUUGAUUUUGUUCGUGGCAGUUCCAAUGAAUAAAGGCAUUAAGAAAUAGUGAAAUUGCAUGCAUGCUGGGAAACAAGAAAUAAUAAUUAUUUUCAGAUAAGUCAAAUAGGGUAUAGAUAUGGCAUCUGCUACCGUUCCUUUUAAUGUAUACUUGUAAUGGAAAUAAACAAUGCAUGAGCCAUCAGCUAUGGCUGCAAAAUUAACUUCUUUUUUUUUGUCACUAUUUUCUUGACUUGGAAACAUAACGUAAAAGAAGCAAGACUGGUACCGGUACAAUGAAAAUUCGGAAGUUGGUCUCUUUCCAUUUCCCAAUUCUGUUUUUUUCUUCUUUUUUUUUUUUCCUUUUUUUAGCAAGUCCAAGAAGAUGAUCUCUUUAUCAAUGGCUUCAUCUGUUUGUCCUCCUCCAAAGAAAUCAUCCCCAAGUGCGACGGAUCCUCCAUCAUCAUUUUUGCCACUAAAUAUCCUGCUAUUGACCAUGUCUGAUACUUCCUAGCCUGUUUACCGACAUAUCUCCCGAGUUUGCCGUCAUAAUAUUCUGGCCACCCAUCUUUCAACAAGCGUGUC